AUCUUUCCUCCCCAUCCACAAGAUACUUCGACAGGUCUUUGAGCGGCUCUCCCUCUUUAUAGUGCAGCACUGGCAGUGGCUCAUCUGUCAAAGCACGAACAUAUGGUGAUCUGUAAGUACAGUGCAGGAUUCCAUCACAUUAAUACAAGAUGGGACACUGGCUUCACAUAAGCAUGUGAACAGAAGGGACUAUGUAACCCACCAUCCCGCAGGCUGCGCUUUGGGAAGGCCUUUGGUCUGGAACUCCUCCUCAUGCUCUUAUUCUUCUCAUCCUGUCCACAAUACGGACAAGAACGUCAGACGAGCUAUGUCAUCAAGAAAAGAAUUGAUGAAGAAUCAAGGCAGGGAGCAGAGUGCGCCAAGGUGGAUGACCAAAGAUAUUGUAAGGUGCAGAGAAGCGGGCGAAUGAACAAAAUGGCCCCCUUUUGUGAUCCACAUGAGGCAUCCUUGAGGCACCCUUGUGAUAAAAUUAAUGUGCUUAAACGUCUGCACACCAGACCACCCGGAAGAUCGAGACAUCUAACUAUUUAAGCAAUAUCCCCUCAGGCCUCUCCUGCUAUCAGCUCACACGUACGGUUUGUUCGAACAGAGAGCAUCGAGCUCUCCACUCAUAUGUUAUGAAACAGGAACUAGACCAUUCCUUCUUACAUAACGGUCAGCGGACACAGCAUCACCACAGCAUGCUCUUGCCUGAUUGAACGGAUACAGUAGUAGAGGAACAGCAGGGGCAUACAAAUCGAGUGGCAUCCUCCACGACAGGAAUUCAGCAGCCCAUAAUGCAGUUUUCAUGCGACUAUGUGUGACAUACGAAGAAGAAGACGCGGAUUGUCCUGCUGACGGCCCUUCGAAACCCUUUCUCCCGGGAGACUUUCAUUUCCUUUUUUUUACAACCUAUACUUUUCUAUAAGUCCAUGGGAAUUGUCAUUACCUCUUCACUUCCGUGUGCAUCUGCUGCUUCUGAUUGAUCUAACCGUGGGGCUUUCACCCCGUUGGUGAGUCGUCCACCUCCCUCUUCACUUUCUGAAGCCGCACGUUUCAUCGCUGUCACUGCUGUCAGUCAGAAUUGUCACUAUGCUGAAGACCUGAAGAGCUUUCAGAUAGAUUGUGUGUUGUGGUUGAGGCAAAAUAUGGCAAACCAACCACUUCAAUCUUGCUGGCUUGCGACUUCCCAGGUAACGUCAAUGAUAAUAGCUCACCGGAUCACAUCAUAAACCAUGUCCCAAUCAAUAACUAACGUGAUGCAGAGUGCGUGGUGCGUUUGAUUUCAACAGAAGUGGAUU
rnacentral:lncRNA from 1 species